rnacentral:miRNA from 1 species
AAUCCUGGGAGCAAGUGCCAG